rnacentral:tRNA from 1 species
AGUUCUUUAGUAUAAUAAAGUAUAUAUGAUUUCCAAUCAUAAGGAUAAAAGAAUUA